rnacentral:rRNA from 1 species
GAGUUUUGGACAAUGGGCGAAAGCCUGAUCCAGCAAUGCCGCGUGCAGGAUGAAGGCCUUCGGGUUGUAAACUGCUUUUGUACGGAACGAAAAGCUUUGGGUUAAUACCCUGGAGUCAUGACGCUACCGGACGAAUAAGCACCGCCUAACUACGUCCCCGCCUCCGCGGUAAUACGUAGGGUGCAAGCGUGAAUCGGAAUUACGGGGCGUAAAGCGUGCGCAGGCGGUGUUGUAAGACGGAGGUGAAAUCCCCGGGCUCAACCUGGGAACUGCCUUUGUGACUGCAAGGCUAGAGUACGGCAGAGGGGGGUGGAAUUCCGCGUGUAGCAGUGAAAUGCGUAGAUAUGCGGAGGAACACCGAUGGCGAAGGCAACCCCCUGGGCCUGUACUGACGCUCAUGCACGAAAGCGUGGGGAGCAAAC